rnacentral:rRNA from 1 species
UCGCUAGUAAUCGCGGAUCAGAAUGCCGCGGUGAAUACGUUCCCGGGUCUUGUACACACCGCCCGUCACACCAUGGGAGUCGGAAAUGCCCGAAGUCUGUGACCCAACCUACGGGAGGGAGCAGCCGAAGGCAGGUCGGAUGACUGGGGUGAAGUCGUAACAAGGUAAC